GCCAGGUGUCGCUGGGACAGCACAUUGGCCACGUGGGAAAAGAGGCCCAAGGAGCUGUUUAACGGAGAUCCCGGUGUGGUACCCCGACUGGCGCAGGUCUGAGCUCCUCCUCCCCCUCAUCCGCCUGGGGACCCCCUGCUCAGAUGUUGGUGAAAUGAAUUCAAAAUGUGGUUUUUCCUGCAAAACAACAUCACUAAUGGCAACCAGGCCCUGGGGCUGAGACACAGAAGCCAAAGGAAGCUUUAAUGAGAUUAAAGCUCUGUCUACAAUAACAAAAAUGACCAAUCUGGUUACAUUUGCUGGCAAUUAAACAAAACAGAAAAA